CCCCCCCCAUUUCUCCCCCUCCUCCAAGGUGCAGCCCUCCCGUGUGGUUCUCCGUCGUGUGGCUGCGAUCUCAAUUGGAGUUUGGAGGGAGGAAGAAGGAAGGAGGAAGGGAAGAACCUAAGGUGAAUUUGUGAUUAACUUUUGUUGUUUUUGUGCUGCAAUCAAUUGGAUUAUGUGUUUAUCUUUGCGAAUCGGUAGAGGUGCUGUCCAGGAAUUUUGUGAGUGGGUGAACAGCAGUAGUUCUAGGGAUUUCUGGGAAUUUUCGUGGGGUAAUUAGUGGGAAUCAGUGGGAUAAUCAUGUAGAGCUUUGUCAUACCUUUCCAACGAGUACUUAUGCGCUCGAUUCGGAGUUAUAAUUUAGGAGAUAUCGUUGUUUGAAUCCGGGUAUAUUGCUGUCCAAAAAAACAGAUUUUUCAGGUGGGUGAACAGCAGUAGUAUUAGCAGUUUCUGGGAAUUUUUCGUGGGUAAUUAGUAUUAACCAGUAUUAUAAUCAUGUAGGGCUUUGUCUUAUCUUUCCAAUGAGUACUUAUGUGCUUGAUUUGGAAUUAUAUUUUAAAAGAUAUCGCUGUUUGAAUCCAGGUAUGUUGCUGUAAAAAAAACAGAUUUUUCAGGUGGGUGAACAGCAGUAGUAUUAGCAAUUUCUGGGCAUUUUUCGUGGUUAAUUAGUGCUAACCAGUAAGAUAAUCAUGUAUGGCUUUGUCUUAUCUUUCCAAUGAGUACUUAUGCGCUUGAAUUGGAAUUAUAUUUUAAAAGUUAUCGCUGUUUGAAUCCGGGUAUGUCGCUGUCCAAAAGAGAAAAAAACAGAUUACAGGGUUCAUCUUGUGAACUGUUUUGGGCUAAUUAGAUGUUGGAGUUUAAUUAUAAAUUGUAUACAAAACUUGUGGGGAAUUUUAUGUAGAUGCCUCUGGAGUUUUUGUUUGUUACCAAUGCUGUCAUAAUUUUGAAGUUAUGAAAUUAUUAAGCAGCGCCGCUGCAGUUUGGUGGGUGUGGGGAGAGAUGUAACCCGCGGCGGGGUUUGAGUUUGUGCGUAGGUGCGGCGUCGUUUAUGAGCCUGGUUAUGUGAAAUUGGUGCACUAAGUUGUGUGUCAAAAACAGGUGGUGGACUUCCGGAUCGUACUUAGGGAUUUGCCCAAACUUCCGGUAAAGGCAAGUAAAUACAGUGGUGGUUGCUACCGUUUGGUUUGCAUCCUAUUCCCUGUCAUUGAGUAUGCAUAAGUUUUAAAUAUGUUAAUCAUUGAAUUCUAUGAUGAAGUUUAUUUGUUCGAAAGUAUUAAUUCUCAAUUGUCUAAUAUUGUGGAUGAUCAUGAUUUGGUAAUGAUAUAUGUGGUUGAUUCCUAUCAUGGAUGGAGUUGAAGUAUUUUUAUUUGAAUCACGUUAUAUGAAGUGUUGUAGGCAUGUCAUGCACAUUGCAUCAUCCAUCUUGCAUUCUGAAGUUAUGUCGUGAUCUUAUGGUCCGACUGUACCGGUACAUUUUUAGCAUCGUACGUUGCCCGAGGAGGGGUACGAUGCGGCUUCAUAUCCUUAGAGGUAUGAAGGCAGAAGUCAUCCUUGCAUUUGCAGACAUUUGCACUCAUGAGGUAUAUAUAUGAAGAGUGACAUUACUAUGUUACUAUUGUGGUUUCUACCUGCGAGGUGUGGUAGCUAGGAGUGUUGUACGUUGUAUACGUGCUGCACCUUUGUAAUAAGAAGGUUGUGAAAUCAAGUGGUGGUAAAACAAUAUUCUUAUGUGGUUAAACAGUUUGAUAUUAUUUUACUUGCUGAGAUGUGUCAUCUCACUCUUGCAUUACUCAAUGCAGGUACUUGAUAUAUGUUGGGAAUGAGGGGAGUAGCAGCACGUCCACUUUCACUCUCAUAAUAGCGCUGCCCAGGCGUAGCCAUGAUUUAAUUAGAAACUUGUUGUCAAAAGAAGUUAUUUUUUUUUGCUAGUCGUGCGCACUGGUUAAUUCAGUUCAUGUCGUAUGUUUAACUUCCCUUUGCUAGCCGAUUAAUAAUACUUGGUAUGUUUUUGUCAUGAUAUAUGUUUAUACAUUGUUGUCCCCCCCCCUCAUUUAUGCAAUUUUGCAAAGGAGAUGCUGCCAAAAUUUUAUAUAGAUGUCAGAAGUGUAGUUCAG
rnacentral:lncRNA from 1 species